rnacentral:tRNA from 1 species
GGGCCUGUAGCACAAUCCGGACAGUGCGAUCGGCUUCGGACCGAUUGAUCUGGGUUCAAAUCCCGGCGGGCUCG